UAUAUCCUGCCUGAUGCGUGAAUGUCGCAAAAUAACCCUACAACCUUUUAAUAGGGAGCUUUACUCCGUUAGUGGCGUGCAGACCUCCUCAUUUGAGACGAAGGGAGCCAAAAGCUAUCGGGAGAGCACCCACCUGCUUUAUUUAGUAGCAGGUUAUCUAAGCGACAGUACGGUCAGGCGGGUUUUCU
rnacentral:other from 1 species